UCCUAGCCCUGAUGGAAGCGGCAUCUCCCGAUUUAGAAAAACAAGGCUUUUUUGCCGUAGUUUUUGUUAAUCGGGAAUACAGUGUACAGCAGGACUGAUG
rnacentral:sRNA from 1 species